UACGGGGGGGGCAAGCGUUGUUCGGAAUUACUGGGCGUAAAGGGCUCGUAGGCGGCCAACUAAGUCAGACGUGAAAUCCCUCGGCUUAACCGGGGAACUGCGUCUGAUACUGGAUGGCUAGAGUGUGGGAGAGGGAUGCGGAAUUCCAGGUGUAGCGGUGAAAUGCGUAGAUAUCAGGAGGAAUACCGAUGGCGAAGGCAGGUCUCUGGGCUGACACUGACGCUCAUGCACGAAAGCGUGGGGAGCAAACAGG
rnacentral:rRNA from 1 species